UUUUUUACUCAUUUUCUUUUCUUUUCUUCCCCAAAGUCUCUCUCUCUUCUCUCUCGAGAACUCCGGCGAAAGAAAUGGCGAUUCAUAUGUAAUCGGGAAAAGAAGAAAGAGAGAAGAAUCGAGUUAUCAAUUGGAUUAAGCAGUCUGCCCAAGUGAUCUUCUUCAUUCUUAAGGGUUUCGUUCCUAUCCUUCUAGGGUUUGUUCUCUCUCUCUCUCAAUCCAAUUGCAUCGCUCUGUUAUUCUUUUUCUUAACGCGUCGCGUCUCUGAUUUUUUUGUUUUGUUUCUUCGUCGUCUCUUGUUGCAGGUUUUUUAAAGCAAGUUUAAUCUGAUUGUCGCUCACACGGCCUCUAGGUGCUUUUUGGAAGCAUGGCUUUCGUCUCUGAAAUCUCAACUUCUUCUAGGAUUGAUUGAUUGCGGAGGAUAACUGUAGUAUUGAUCGAUCGGCGAUUGAGGAGGAUACUAAGAUCUCUCCCUGAUGGUUUGAUUGAGGAGGAGGGCACUAAGAUCUUCUUGGGUUUUUAUUCAUUCUUGUCACUCUCUGUUUGAUUUUAACGACUUCUUUUCUUUUUUGGGGGGGUCUCACUCUCUCUCUCUUUGUUGCAGGUCUUCUUUUGGAAUUACUCCCGAACAGCAAGCUUUGUCAAAGGAUGGAUCACAACUAGCAGCAAUAUGAAGGGACAAGUAAGUUUGCAGCCAUGAGCUUAGACUUGCUUAUUAUAUAUAUGUCUUGUUAUUUUGUUUCUUAUCUCUUGUCUCUAGCUAACUUUUGGUAUGCAUGUUUUCUUUUCUUUUUUGUUGCAUCAGCCUCAAGGAUUUGUCUCUUGACUAGCAGAUAAAGGCAUCAAUGGAGAUGAUGACUUGCCAAAGCGCAAGACCUUUUGUGGUUUCUGGGACUAAGAUCUCUCGGUGAUGGUUGAGAAAGAGUGGAGUCUUCUCUUUGUUUGUUUUCCUAAUCUCUCCCAUAUUUACUCUCUUUUUUGAUAUAGUGAAAUAACUGUUGAUAUGGCUUUUUUAUUUUCCUCUUAGGAGUUGAAAAACCGACGACCAUCAUUGUGGCUUAUGUAAGUUAACUGAUUAACUAUGUUCAUCUCUCUUUCUUCUUUUACAUGAAUUUUGAGAUUUACCAAGUUAUACUACUAACCCUGCUUCUGAUGAUGUUUUCUCUUUCUAGUUUCAGCUGAUUUGUGCACAGGCUCUUGGAUUGCCAUUAGAGCAGCCAAAGAGUGUAAACAUGGAGAGGUUGCAAAAGGUGAAACUUCGUGGGGCUCUUUAAGCUCCUCUCGAAACCACCAGAGGUUUGCUUUUUAUUAUGAGAUUAUUCUGUUGUUCUUGUUAAGAGUACAAUGUUUUUGUUUCUGUUUAUGUGAUUUAUAUUGACUAUUUUUACAUGUUUGUGCGAGGUCAAAUGGAGAUCAUUUGGAAUGAUUAUUCAUGAAGCGGACUGCAGCGUUUUGGAUUCUCUUAUUUGAAAAGGUAUGGUACGACAGCUUUCAUAUGUUGUUGAUAGUUAUUGUUUGCGAUUGUGUGUUGGGAUGAAUUAGUGUUAGAUUAGGUAAUAGUCAAGUCAGGACAUUGAUGAUUGCUUUUUUGUUUGUUGGAGUUCUUAAAUACGAAUAGUACUUGAUUAGAGAGAUACUUGUCGAGUAGGUUGUUUUAAUGUAAUAAAUUUGUGGUUGUUGUAGUUAAUUUACAACCAUAAAUUUGAAAACCCAAAACCACUUGAGCUCAAUAUAAACCCUCCAUGUUAGCACUAACAUAAACCAUUAACUUUUUCUAUACAAACCCUUUUCUUUUAACAUCAGCUUUCACUAAAACAACCAAUGGAUCCUAGAAGCCUUAUUCGUAAUCCACAUACAUAUUUUGUUGAUCUUAUGAAUUCUCAAAAAGACUCUAACUCCCAAGAUAAUCCAAUUCUUCCAAAUACAUUCUCUUCUCAGCCUGUCCACUUUACCCAAACCCUCUCUUCUCAGCCUGUCAACUUUACCCAAACCCUCUCUUCUCAGCCUGUCAACUGUGGGCCUA